rfam:Kockovaella imperatae strain NRRL Y-17943 BD324scaffold_14, whole genome shotgun sequence.
GCUUUUGUGGCCUAGUUGGUAAGGCAUCCGCUUCACAGCGAAUGCGCGGAAGAUCCAGAGUUCGAUCCUCUGCGGAAGCA